AUGGAGGCAGAAAUAGUUGAGGAGUACAAGUAUCUAGGGGUGCAUAUCAGCAAUAAUCUAGACUGGUCCAGGAACUCGCUGGCCAUAUACAAGAAGGGUCAAAAGACUAAACGCUCACCGGUGUGUGAAAGAGCGGACAACUCUGCCAUUAAAAUGAAGGCACUGGACACACUGACCGCGGUGAUGCUCAUCACCUACACACUUGGCUCCAGUGGUGAGAUCAUCAUGACUCAGCCUCAGACAGCAGUGUCUGGCCAGUCUGGAGAGACGGUGACCAUCAAAUGCCAGACCAGCAGGUCUGUUUACAGCUCCCAUUAUAAAGUGGACAUGCUAAACUGGGUUCAACAGAAGCCUGGAGCACCUCCAAAGGGCAUUAUAGGUGAUGGUGUCUAUCUAACCUCUGGGGUGCCAAACCGCUUCAGUGGCAGUGGAGGGGGGACUGAAUUCACAUUGACCAUCACUGGAGUUCAGCCUGAAGAUGCCGGCUAUUACUACUGUGCACAACGCUAUACUGCACCAUACACAGUGAUAGAGAGCUGA